UUUAAUUAUCUGUUAGAGUCAUUUUGGAGUCAAUUUGAACAUAGAAAUGUCUACACAUCAACAUAACAAUGAAAGUGAUGACGAAGAUGAUGAAGACAAUGGUGAUGAAUAUAGUGAUCAUAUUGAAGGGCAUGGUUGAUUAUAGGUACAAGUUAUGGUGGAUUGUAGAUACAAGUUGACUCUAGUUCAUGGUAUAUCAUGCAUAUACAACAACAACAACCAAGCCUUUAUCCCACUAGGUGGGGUCGGCUAUAUGGAUCAAACGACGCCAUAGGGAUCUAUCAUUUAUUUUUUAGUACAUGGAUUUUGCCUUGACAUUUUCAUUUUUUCAUUUAUUUUUAUGCAAGGCAUGGUUAAUUGUAGGUACAAGUAAUGGUUGAUUGUAGAUACAAGUUGAUUUUACUACAUGGUAUAUCAUGCAUAUGGUGCCUGGUGGAAACUUUUAGACAAGUGGUGCAUCCAUUCUCGUUCAUUCUCUCCUCUACUUUGGUCUCAUUUGUUUGUUCUUGAUCUCCAUUAAGGUCUACUUUUACAUAGGCUAAUCACUUCAUUUGCCUAUGUUAAGAUAAUUCUAUAAGAUAUAGUUUAGAUAUACUAGUUUAUUCUCUCCUAAUUUUUAGUUUAGUUUCCUUAGUCAGUUUUAUCUAAAUUCCUAAACUUUAGGGAUUGAUUAUGUUUUAUGCCUAUUUAUUUUAUUGUAUCCAUCAAUUCAAUAACAUGAAAAUUAUUCAGAUUUAAGUUGGUAUCACAGCCUGGUUCGAUCCAGGGACCUAUGGGUAUCACAGCCUGGUAUCACAGCCUGGUUCGAUCCAGGGACCUAUGGGUUAUGGGCCCACAUUAUAUACUAUAUAUUCAUCU